rnacentral:rRNA from 1 species
AGUGAACGCUGGCGGUAGGCCUAACACAUGCAAGUCGAACGGCAGCACAGUAAGAGCUUGCCCUUACGGGUGGCGAGUGGCGGACGGGUGGGGAAUACAUCGGAAUCUACUUUUUCGUGGGGGAUAACGUAGGGAAACUUACGCUAAUACCGCAUACGACCUACGGGUGAAAGCAGGGGAUCUUCGGACCUUGCGCGUUUGAAUGAGCCGAUGUCGGAUUAGCUAGUUGGCGGGGUAAAGGCCCACCAAGGCGACGAUCCGUAGCUGGUCUGAGAGGAUGAUCAGCCACACUGGAACUGAGACACGGUCCAGACUCCUACGGGAGGCAGCAGUGGGGAAUAUUGGGCAAUGGGCGCAAGCCUGAUCCAGCCAUACCGCGUGGGUGAAGAAGGCCUUCGGGUUGUAAAGCCCUUUUGUUGGGAAAGAAAAGCAGCAGGUUAAUACCCCGCUGUUCUGACGGUACCCAAAGAAUAAGCACCGGCUAACUUCGUG